rnacentral:rRNA from 1 species
UGCAUAUCAAAAGCGGAGGAAAAGAAACUAACAAGGAUUCCCCUAGUAGCGGCGAGCGAAGCGGGAAGAGCUCAAAUUUAUAAUCUGGCACCUUCGGUGUCCGAGUUGUAAUCUCUAGAAGUGUUUUCCGCGUUGGACCGCACACAAGUCUGUUGGAAUACAGCGGCAUAGUGGUGAAACCCCCGUAUAUGGUGCGGACGCCCAGCGCUUUGUGAUACACUUUCAAUGAGUCGAGUUGUUUGGGAAUGCAGCUCAAAUUGGGUGGUAAAUUCCAUCUAAAGCUAAAUAUUGGCGAGAGACCGAUAGCGAACAAGUACCGUGAGGGAAAGAUGAAAAGCACUUUGGAAAGAGAGUUAACAGUACGUGAAAUUGUUGGAAGGGAAACGCUUGAAGUCAGACUUGCUUGCCGGAGCUUGCUUCGGUUUGCAGGCCAGCAUCAGUUUUCCGGGGUGGAUAAUGACGGUUUGAAGGUAGCAGUCUCGGCUGUGUUAUAGCUUUCCGUUGGAUACAUCCUGGGGGACUGAGGAACGCAGCGUGCUUUUUGCGAA